UAAUUUGUUUGGGAUAGUUCAUUAUUUUAUUGUAGUAGAUCCACUACUCAUUAUCUCAUACUCAACUAUAUCACCUAAUUACAGGAAGCCCAAAUUCAAAUACAAAAC
rfam:Populus trichocarpa scaffold_12_contig_169, whole genome shotgun sequence.